ensembl:rRNA 5S_rRNA 5S ribosomal RNA
GUCUAUGGCCAUAUCACCCUGAACGUGUCCAAUCUCACUGGAUCUCAGAAGCUAAGCAGGAUCGACCCAGGUUAGUACUUGGAUGGGAGACAGCCUGAAAAUACCAGGUGCUGUAGGGA